rnacentral:rRNA from 1 species
GACGAACGCUGGCGGCGUGCUUAACACAUGCAAGUCGAACGGAAAGGCCCUGCUUUUGUGGGGUGCUCGAGUGGCGAACGGGUGAGUAACACGUGAGUAACCUGCCCUUGACUUUGGGAUAACUUCAGGAAACUGGGGCUAAUACCGGAUAGGAGCUCCUGCUGCAUGGUGGGGGUUGGAAAGUUUCGGCGGUUGGGGAUGGACUCGCGGCUUAUCAGCUUGUUGGUGGGGUAGUGGCUUACCAAGGCUUUGACGGGUAGCCGGCCUGAGAGGGUGACCGGCCACAUUGGGACUGAGAUACGGCCCAGACUCCUACGGGAGGCAGCAGUGGGGAAUAUUGCACAAUGGGCGGAAGCCUGAUGCAGCAACGCCGCGUGCGGGAUGACGGCCUUCGGGCUGUAACCGCUUUCGCCUGUGACGAAGCGUGAGUGACGGUAAUGGGUAAAGAAGCACCGGCUAACUACGUG